CUCGAAAGAGAGCCGUAACACAGGUGCUGCAUGGCUGUCGUCAGCUCGUGUCGUGAGAUGUUGGGUUAAGUCCCGCAACGAGCGCAACCCUUGUCAUUAGUUGCUACAUUCAGUUGGGCACUCUAAUGAGACUGCCGGUGACAAGCCGGAGGAAGGUGGGGAUGACGUCAAGUCCUCAUGGCCCUUAUAGGUGGGGCUUCACACGUCAUACAAUGGUCGGUACAGAGGGUUGCCAACCCGCGAGGGGGAGCUAAUCCCACAAAGCCGAUCGUAGUCCGGAUCGCAGUCUGCAACUCGACUGCGUGAAGUCGGAAUCGCUGGUAAUCGUGGAUCAGCAUGUCACGGUGAAUACGUUCCCGGGUCUU
rnacentral:rRNA from 1 species